rnacentral:rRNA from 1 species
AAAGUCGUAACAAGGUUUCCGUAGGUGAACCUGCGGAAGGAUCAUUACCGAACUGUCAACAAGAGUUGUUGCUGGUCCCUGUAAUGGGGGCAUGUGCACGCUCUGUUUACACAUCCACUCACACCUGUGCACCCUCUGUAGUUCUAUGGCCUGGGUGGGCUCUGCCCUCCUGCUGUGGUUCUACGUCUUUACACACACACUACAAUAAAGUCUUAUGGAAUGUAUGUCGCGUUUAACGCAAUUAAAUACAACUUUCAGCAACGGAUCUCUUGGCUCUCGCAUCGAUGAAGAACGCAGCGAAAUGCGAUAAGUAAUGUGAAUUGCAGAAUUCAGUGAAUCAUCGAAUCUUUGAACGCACCUUGCGCCCUUUGGCUAUUCCGAAGGGCAUGCCUGUUUGAGUAUCAUGAACACCUCAACUCUCAUGGUUUGCCGUGAUGAGCUUGGACUUUGGGGGUCUUGUUGGCCUGUGAGCCAGCUCCUCUUAAAUGGAUUAGCUUGCCGGUGUUUGGUGGCGUCACAGGUGUGAUAACUAUCUACGCUUGUGGUUUCCCACUAGGUAACCUUCAGCAAUGGAGGUUCACCGGAGCUCAUAAAUGUCUCUCCUCGGCGAGGACAGAUUUUGACCGUUUGAUCUCAAAUCAGGUAGGACUACCCGCUGAACUUAAGCAUAUCAAUAAGCGGAGGAAAAGAAACUAACAAGGAUUCCCCUAGUAACUGCGAGUGAAGCGGGAAGAGCUCAAAUUUAAAAUCUGGCGGCCUC